rnacentral:rRNA from 1 species
GUGGGGAAUAUUGGACAAUGGGCGCAAGCCUGAUCCAGCCAUGCCGCGUGAGUGAUGAAGGCCCUAGGGUUGUAAAGCUCUUUCACCGGUGAAGAUAAUGACGGUAACCGGAGAAGAAGCCCCGGCUAACUUCGUGCCAGCAGCCGCGGUAAUACGAAGGGGGCUAGCGUUGUUCGGAAUUACUGGGCGUAAAGCGCACGUAGGCGGGUAUUUAAGUCAGGAGUGAAAUCCCGGAGCUCAACUCCGGAACUGCCUUUGAUACUGGGUACCUGGAGUAUGGAAGAGGUAAGUGGAAUUCCGAGUGUAGAGGUGAAAUUCGUAGAUAUUCGGAGGAACACCAGUGGCGAAGGCGGCUUACUGGUCCAUUACUGACGCUGAGGUGCGAAAGCGUGGGGAGCAAACAGGAUUAGAAACCCUUGUAGUCC